CUCCCUCGGAUUUUUCCUUUAUCGAGCCGGAUAGCCUCCCUUUUUUGCUUCUCAGUUUGACGCUCCUGAUUUCUCCUCACUCUCGGCCUCGAUGUGUUUUGGUCGCAUCAAAUCGACGCUUCUCCUUUCUUCACACUGCUGAUCUUACUGAAUCAGAGACACGACGCAAGCAAUGUUCCCGCGCCUCUCACCGUCUCCCCGCGUCUCUCCUGGUUUCUUCUCUAUGGUUUAGACUCUUGAUAUGUGGCUUCCGCCACGUCGGCUUGCGUUCGUUCCCUCGACGCUUUCUUCUUUU
rnacentral:lncRNA from 1 species